rnacentral:rRNA from 1 species
UGAGGAAUAUUGGACAAUGGGGGCAACCCUGAUCCAGCAACGCCGCGUGGAGGAUGAAGGUCUUUGGAUUGUAAACUCCUUUUCUUGGGGAAGAGCAAGGACGGUACCCGAGGAAUCAGUCACGGCUAACUACGUGCCAGCAGCCGCGGUAAUACGUAGGUGGCGAGCGUUAUCCGGAAUUACUGGGCGUAAAGCGCACGCAGGCGGUCUUUUGGGUCUGACGUGAAAGCUCCUGGCUUAACUGGGAGAGGUCGUUGGAAACUGGGAGACUUGAGGCAAUGAGAGGGGUGUGGAAUUCCCGGUGUAGUGGUGGAAUGCGUAGAGAUCGGGAGGAACACCAGUGGCGAAAGCGGCACCCUGGCAUUGGCCUGACGCUGAGGUGCGAAAGCGUGGGGAGCAAACGGG